CCUGCUCCAAGGAGGGGAGAGCCAGAUGUGACCCGUAGGACGCCUGAUUACUUCCUAUGAUUCAAGUUGGAAGCAAGUCAUGAAUCGUGGUUAUUGCCUCCUAGCUGGUUUAUGUGUUGAGGGCUUUUUCAAAUUUAAGAUUAUAAUUGCAAUGGUGGUUGUUAGGUGGCGAAAAAAUCAGGCUUCCUUGAUUUGAUUGUUAGUAUUGAUGAUGCCCUUGUUCCACAAGAGGAAGCAGUGGAGCUGGAAAGCAAUUGCUGCAUUUGUACCAUUUCCAGCAAACAAUGUGGCAU
rnacentral:misc_RNA from 1 species